UCAGUGUUUUCUAUCUUCACAACAAAAGACAAGCCAAAAAUUAUUUCCUGUCCAAAAAGUAAGGGAAAAGGGAACCCAUAUUUAAGAUGUCUCUCUCUCUCUGUUGUGGAGGUUUUGGCAAAUAACUUUCACCUAUGAAGGAGACUGGCUCCUUAAACAAUUUUAUCCUUAUAAUUUCAAAUGGGAACCAUCUGCACCUUUAAAAAUCUAACAAGAACUCAUAUUUAUGAGGUCACAACUGGGCUCCACCGUACCUCUCUGAGAACUGGUCAAGUUUCUUCAACUGAGCUACAGAAGUUUGCGCCGAUAUAGGUUGAACUGCCUUAUACUUCGAUAUUUCCCACAGCAGCCAACAAACUACAGUGAAUAUGGGAGCUACGCAGGAGCCUUGGAUGGAUGGAUGGAUGGAUGGAAUACCUUCCUUGGACUUUCAAAUGCCUCUUGUCAUCUGAGAGCUUCCUGGGCUGGGCAAAAGGAGGGGUCUCUGAGGUCCUGUGCCAUCUGCUCUGAGCACCUUUACAGAGUUGCCUCAUUUGCCCUCAAGCUUAAUCGAGGUCGCUUAGGGCCAAGCUGCUAAACCAUAGGAAGGAAAGAAGCAUCUGUUGUUUUGUUGCUAUUAUUUUUCCCUCCGAGCUGCUUCUUCGGUAGAUGUAUUUUCCAUUCAUUUUAUGCCCCUUUGUUAUUACACUAUUUGAAACCCCUAAAGUGGUACCUACUGAUACUCUAUUCCAAUGGAAACAGAAUACCAAGUGCUGAGAAGUUAGAAAUCUGACAUUUUGUGCUUAAACAAAUGCCAAAUGUUUUUGAGCUGUAAAAUUGGACUUCUGAUGUGGCCUGAAGGGUUAUUUUGCAAUUUCACACUUUCCCUAUUAGGAAGAAUCUGGAAAAACUUAACACUAAUUUUCAUCUUUGGGAAAAAAAUUUUAAAAAGAUUUUUAGCUCAAGUAGCUUUGUUCUUCCUUUCCUCCUCAAAUUUGGUCAAGAUCACAUCCUACCAAAAUGAACCAUAGUAGUGAGAAGAGAGAAGUAGGGUGAAGGCUUUUCCCAACCAGAAAGAUAGUAAACCAGACCUGCAACUCCAUCUUCCUUUAUCUUACCACUGUGGAUAAUGAGAAAAGGAAGGGGAAAAGAGAAUUUUCUUUAUUGUAGAGGUAAGUAGCAAGUGGAAGAAAUGUUAAAGGAGAUGGGAAUGGCACAGAGAUGGUUCUCAUUUCAUUCUGCUCUCUCUUAGACACUGGGCAUUAUUAGUAGGGCAUAAUUAAAAAGCAUCUAUGAAACCCUCACAUUCCUACUGAUGACGACAUGGUUCUGCACUGUGGGAUAAGCUAUGUAACUAAUUACCUGGGAGUCUCUAUUAGGAGGGGAUGGAAUUUUUUCUUUGAGUCCUUGAUUAAGAACCCAAAGAGUUGGCCUGUAUCUAAGGUAUCUAGUAUUCUAAAUGUAAGAUGUAGGGUAAAUACAAUGGAAGCUUAAGGAUGAUAUUCUCUUCCCUUUAUAGUUAAAGGGUGAUGUUAUGGAAACCACAUA